AGGUGCGAUCAUACCAGCACUAAUGCACCGGAUCCCAUCAGAACUCCGCAGUUAAGCGUGCUUGGGCGAGAGUAGUACUAGGAUGGGUGACCUCCUGGGAAGUCCUCGUGUUGCACCUCUUUUUUCCACGGGAGGUAGCAUUAACGGACUCGAAAUAUUAAAAAUGGUCUUUUGGACUUUUGGGGUGGAACUGACAGACGUAGUUUGUCACAACGGAUAGAAUGGAAAAUUCUACCCCGAAUGCAUAUAUUAUAUGUCGAAUUCUGAUAUACGGUUCUAAAGUUAUGCCAAAAAUGGAUAAUUACGACUUAAGGAAUUUGAUCGCGCGUACACAUGCAGGUGCGAUCAUACCAGCACUAAUGCACCGGAUCCCAUCAGAACUCCGCAGUUAAGCGUGCUUGGGCGAGAGUAGUACUAGGAUGGGUGACCUCCUGGGAAGUCCUCAUGUUGCACCUCUUUUUUCCACGGGAGGUAGCAUUAACGGACUCG